CCUACGGGUGGCUGCAGUGGGGAAUAUUGGACAAUGGGCGAAAGCCUGAUCCAGCCAUGCCGCGUGUGUGAAGAAGGCCUUCGGGUUGUAAAGCACUUUCAGUGGGGAAGAAAGCCUUGGGGCUAAUACCCUCGAGGAAGGACAUCACCCACAGAAGAAGCACCGGCUAACUCCGUGCCAGCAGCCGCGGUAAUACGGAGGGUGCGAGCGUUAAUCGGAAUUACUGGGCGUAAAGCGCGCGUAGGCGGUCUGAUAAGCCGGUUGUGAAAGCCCCGGGCUCAACCUGGGAACGGCAUCCGGAACUGUCAGGCUAGAGUGCAGGAGAGGAAGGUAGAAUUCCCGGUGUAGCGGUGAAAUGCGUAGAGAUCGGGAGGAAUGCCAGUGGCGAAGGCGGCCUUCUGGACUGACACUGACGCUGAGGUGCGAAAGCGUGGGUAGCAAACAGGAUUAGAUACCCUGGUAGUC
rnacentral:rRNA from 1 species